rnacentral:rRNA from 1 species
GACGAACCGUGCGAACGUUAUUCGGAAUCACUGGGCUUAAAGCGCGUGUAGGCGGGACGGCACGUCGGCCGCUGAAAUCCCCCGGCUCAACCGGGGAAGGGGCGCCGAUACGACCGCCCUGGAGGGACGUAGGGGGGGGCUGGAACUUCCGGUGGAGCGGUGAAAUGCGUUGAGAUCGGAAGGAACGCCCGUGGCGAAAGCGAGCCCCUGGACGUCUACUGACGCUGAGACGCGAAAAGCCAGGGGGAGCGAACGGG